rnacentral:lncRNA from 1 species
UUAAUCAAGGAGUAUUUCAUCUGAUAAAUGAGAAGACAAAGAAGACUACUAGCUAUGGGAAUUGCUUGCUUGGGUGUGGCUAUCUUUAUUUGAUGCCUAGAUCUUCAUGAUGUCUGAUAUAGCUAAUUACUUAUUGAUUAUUGCUUGAUUCAAAGUCCAAAGGAAAAUAUGUUUCUAUAUGACAUUCUUGUCUAUUGGAUUGCAUCCCAUUGGUUAGAUCUUUUCAAAUCAUAAAU